UACAGAGGUCCCAAGCGUUGUUCGGAUUCACUGGGCGUAAAGGGUGCGUAGGUGGCGAGGUAAGUCGGAUGUGAAAGCUCGGAGCUCAACUCCGAAAUGGCAUUGGAAACUACCUUGCUCGAGGGUUGGAGGGGGGACUGGAAUUCUCGGUGUAGCAGUGAAAUGCGUAGAGAUCGGGAGGAACAUCUGUGGCGAAGGCGGCCACCUGGACCAACACUGACACUGAGGCACGAAAGCGUGGGGAGCAAACAGG
rnacentral:rRNA from 1 species